rfam:Triticum aestivum genome assembly, contig: Triticum_aestivum_CS42_TGACv1_scaffold_592835_7BS
AUAAUACUCCCUCCGUCCGGAAUUACUUGUCAUCAAAAUGGAUGUGUCUAGAACUAAAAUACAUCUAGAUACAUCCAUUACAAUGACAAGUAUUUUCGGAUGGAGGGAGUAGUAG